rnacentral:rRNA from 1 species
AACGAACGCUGGCUGCAGGCUUAACACAUGCAAGUCGAGCGCCCCGCAAGGGGAGCGGCAGACGGGUGAGUAACGCGUGGGAAUCUACCCAUCUCUACGGAAUAACGCAUGGAAACGUGUGCUAAUACCGUAUACGUCCUUCGGGAGAAAGAUUUAUCGGAGAUGGAUGAGCCCGCGUUGGAUUAGCUAGUUGAUGGGGUAAAGGCCUACCAAGGCGACGAUCCAUAGCUGGUCUGAGAGGAUGAUCAGCCACACUGGGACUGAGACACGGCCCAGACUCCUACGGGAGGCAGCAGUGGGGAAUAUUGGACAAUGGGCGCAAGCCUGAUCCAGCCAUGCCGCGUGAGUGAUGAAGGCCCUAGGGUUGUAAAGCUCUUUCACCGGUGAAGAUAAUGACGGUAACCGGAGAAGAAGCCCCGGCUAACUUCGUGCCAGCCGCCGCGGUAAGAC